GAUGAACGCUGGCGGCGUGCCUAAUACAUGCAAGUCGAGCGAACGGACGAGAAGCUUGCUUCUCUGAUGUUAGCGGCGGACGGGUGAGUAACACGUGGAUAACCUACCUAUAAGACUGGGAUAACUUCGGGAAACCGGAGCUAAUACCGGAUAAUAUUUUGAACCGCAUGGUUCAAAAGUGAAAGACGGUCUUGCUGUCACUUAUAGAUGGAUCCGCGCUGCAUUAGCUAGUUGGUAAGGUAACGGGUUACCAAGGCAACGAUGCAUAGCCGACCUGAGAGGCGGAUAGGCCACACUGGAACUGAGACACGGUCCAGACUCCUACGGGAGGCAGCAGUAGGGAAUCUUCCGCAAUGGGCGAAAGCCUGACGGAGCAACGCCGCGUGAGUGAUGAAGGUCUUCGGAUCGUAAAACUCUGUUAUUAGGGAAGAACAUAUGUGUAAGUAACUGUGCACAUCUUGACGGUACCUAAUCAGAAAGCCACGGCUAACUACGUG
rnacentral:rRNA from 1 species